GUAUAGGGGAAACCCUACUUGCAACAUGAAAACUGAUGCAAGAUCCCUUUAGGGUAUAAAGUUCUAGUCAGUACUAUGAUAAUGACAUUCUCUGGCUAUGUGUCUUGACCAAAUUACGUGCCAGCUGUCGCGGUAAUACGUAGAAGACUAGUGUUAUUCAUGUUUAAUCGGUUUAAAGGGUACCUAGACGGCAGAUAAAGCCUUCAAUAAGGGACUAAUCUAGCUAGAGUUACUUAUGAGGAAGCUAUAAAGUACUGCUGGUGUAGAGAUGAAAUUCUGUAAUACCUCUUUCCGCAAUGGGAAACGACGGCACAGGUAAAGGCGAAGGCGUCUUCUUAUGGGAUAACUG
rnacentral:rRNA from 1 species